AUUCCCCCUAGUAACUGCGAGUGGAAAGAGGGAAGAGCUCAAAUUUGAAAUCUGGCAGUGUUUUGCUGUCCGAGUUGUAAUCUAGAGAAGUGCUGCCCGUGCUGGACCAUGUACAAGUCUCCUGGAAUGGAGCGUCACAGAGGGUGAGAAUCCCGUCUUUGACAUGGACUGCCAGUGCAUUUGUGGUGUGCUCUCAAAGAGUCGAGUUGUUUGGGAAUGCAGCUCUAAAUGGGUGGUAAACUCCAUCUAAAGCUAAAUAUUGGCGAGAGACCGAUAGCGAACAAGUACCGUGAGGGAAAGAUGAAAAGAACUUUGGAAAGAGAGUUAAACAGUAUGUGAAAUUGUUGAAAGGGAAACGCUUAAAGUCAGUCGUGUCGGCCAGGGAUCAACUCAGUAUUAUCUGCUGGGUGUACUUCCUGAUCUGAUGGGCCAACAUCAAUUUUGACUGCUGGAAAAGGAUAAAGGGAAUGUGGCACCUUUGGGUGUGUUAUAACUCUCUGUCGG
rnacentral:rRNA from 1 species